UACGGGGGGAGCAAGCGUUGUUCGGAUUUACUGGGCGUAAAGGGCGCGUAGGCGGCCAGCACAAGUCAGUUGUGAAAUCUCCGAGCUUAACUCGGAACGGUCAACUGAUACUGUGCGGCUAGAGUGCGGAAGGGGCAACUGGAAUUCUUGGUGUAGCGGUGAAAUGCGUAGAUAUCAAGAGGAACACCUGCGGCGAAGGCGGGUUGCUGGGCCGACACUGACGCUGAUGCGCGAAAGCCAGGGGAGCGAACGGG
rnacentral:rRNA from 1 species